UUGCUUGCUAUGGCAGCACAUAUACUAAAAAUGGAAUGAUAGAGAGAAGAUUAGCAUGGCCCC
ensembl:snRNA U6 U6 spliceosomal RNA